UACAGAGGGUGCAAGCGUUAAUCGGAAUUACUGGGCGUAAAGCGUGCGUAGACGGUCAUGUAAGUCGGGUGUGAAAGCCCCGGGCUCAACCUGGGAAUUGCAUUCGAGACUGCAUGGCUAGGAUGCGGAAGAGGGAAGCGGAAUUUCCGGUGUAGCGGUGAAAUGCGUAGAUAUCUGGAGGAACACCGGUGGCGAAGGCGGCAUCCUGGACCAAUAUUGACGCUGAGGAGCGAAAGCCAGGGGAGCAAACGGG
rnacentral:rRNA from 1 species